AGAGCGAACGCUGGCGGCAGGCCUAACACGUGCAAGUCGAGCGCCCCGCAAGGGGAGCGGCAGACGGGAGAGUAACACGUGGGAACGUACCCUUUGGUUCGGAACAACACAGGGAAACUUGUGCUAAUACCGGAUAAGCCCUUACGGGGAAAGAUUUAUCGCCAAAGGAUCGGCCCGCGUCUGAUUAGCUUGUUGGUGAGGUAACGGCUCACCAAGGCUACGAUCAGUAGCUGGUCUGAGAGGAUGAUCAGCCUCACUGGGACUGAGACACGGCCCAGACUCCUACGGGAGGCAGCAGUGGGGAAUAUUGGACAAUGGGCGCAAGCCUGAUCCAGCCAUGCCGCGUGGAUGAUGAAGGCCCUAGGGUUGUAAAGUCCUUUCGACGGGGAAGAUAAUGACGGUACCCGUAGAAGAAGCCCCGGCUAACUUCGUGCCAGCAGCCGC
rnacentral:rRNA from 1 species